rnacentral:rRNA from 1 species
GCAGUCGACGGCAGCACGGGGGCAACCCUGGUGGCGAGUGGCGAACGGGUGAGUAAUACAUCGGAACGUGUCCUGUAGUGGGGGAUAGCCCGGCGAAAGCCGGAUUAAUACCGCAUACGAUCUACGGAAGAAAGCGGGGGAUCGCAAGACCUCGCGCUAUAGGGGCGGCCGAUGGCAGAUUAGCUAGUUGGUGGGGUAAAGGCCUACCAAGGCGACGAUCUGUAGCUGGUCUGAGAGGACGACCAGCCACACUGGGACUGAGACACGGCCCAGACACCUACGGGAGGCAGCAGUGGGGAAUUUUGGACAAUGGGGGAAACCCUGAUCCAGCAAUGCCG